CAAUCUCAGUUCAGACUGCAGGCUGCAACUCGCCUGCACGAAGUCGGAAUUGCUAGUAAUCGUAGGUCAGCACACUACGGUGAAUACGUUCCCGGGCCUUGUACACACCGCCCGUCAAACCAUGAGAGUUGGCAACACCCGAAGUCGGUAGUCUAACCGCAAGGAGGACGCCGCCGAAGGUGGGGUUGAUGAUUAGGGUUAAGUCGUAACAAGGUACC
rnacentral:rRNA from 1 species